AGUGAACGCUGGCGGUAGGCCUAACACAUGCAAGUCGAACGGCAGCACAGUAAGAGCUUGCUCUUACGGUUGGCGAGUGGCGGACGGGUGAGGAAUACAUCGGAAUCUACUUUUUCGUGGGGGAUAACGUAGGGAAACUUACGCUAAUACCGCAUACGACCUACGGGUGAAAGCAGGGGAGCUUCGGACCUUGCGCGAUUGAAUGAGCCGAUGUCGGAUUAGCUAGUUGGCGGGGUAAAGGCCCACCAAGGCGACGAUCCGUAGCUGGUCUGAGAGGAUGAUCAGCCACACUGGAACUGAGACACGGUCCAGACUCCUACGGGAGGCAGCAGUGGGGAAUAUUGGACAAUGGGCGCAAGCCUGAUCCAGCCAUACCGCGUGGGUGAAGAAGGCCUUCGGGUUGUAAAGCCCUUUUGUUGGGAAAGAAAAGCAGCAGGUUAAUACCCCGCUGUUCUGACGGUACCCAAAGAAUAAGCACCGGCUAACUUCGUG
rnacentral:rRNA from 1 species